AUGAAACAUGACAAUGUUCGGGGCAGCAUGAGAUUGACUGCCAAAGUGUCUUGAGCAGGAAGUACCAAGCGAGGAUGGAGAUGAGAAUAAUCAGGGUUGGGUGGAGAAUAUCUGAGGAAACUGCACUUGAUUUGGGCCUUGAAGAGUCAUUGACUGGAUUGGGCUACGUCUAGAAAAGUGGAAAGAUCGUUUCCAGCAGAAGCAACAAGAGCAACAAGCUUGGAGCUGCAUUUCCUUUGGGAGAACAGUGGUCUUCUCUCUGCUGUGGCAAGCAAGUCACUUCUUCUUGCAGUGAGAACUGAAACCAGAACCAUCAUAUGCCACUUCCUGGACACCUCCUAUUAAAUAUUAAAGUCCCCUUCCUCUCGCCACAAAAACUGGAGUUUAGUGGUGAGAGGUACAGGUUCUUAGAUUGUAACAUCAGUUACAACCUACCAACUGCGUGCUCUUGUGCAAUUUACAUUUCCGUGUAUCAGCUUUCCUUUUUCUUUAGAAUGAGGUAUUAAUAGUAGCAACCCAGAAUUGUCAUGAAGCUUCACUAAGUUUUUAUAUAUAAAGAGAAUUAAAACAGUGUUUGGAACGUAACAAUAACUCAAUAAAUGUUGGCCUAUUA